rnacentral:SRP_RNA from 1 species
GAUAUGGACCUCACGUAACAGGCGCUUAUAAACCCCGUCAGGUCCGGAAGGAAGCAGCGGUAAGUAAGAAAGUCUGUGUCGUCGAGUGAAUCUAUAUGGUUU